CAGCACUCCCCACUCCCUCUCCCACACGCCCAGGGAAACACACUUGCAAAAGCCCACUGGGGUUCACGACAGAGUGAAGCCUUCACCCUCCUGCAGCCACGGCUUGCUUGCAGAAAGCAUCAGCGCACCUUGGAGGGAAGAACGAUCUCCCAAAUUCUGGUUCGGAGGUUCCCAUACCCAGUAAGCAGAGCCAGGCUGAAGGGAACAGUAUCUUUCUCUCCCUCACCCCAGCGUUCCCUAAGGACAGAAUGCAAGCUUCUUGCAGCCAGUGAAGCCCACGAACGUAUCCUCAGGGCCCAGCACAAGGACGGGCACACAGGGACCCCGACCGCGACUUGCUGAAAGAUACUCAUGCUGAGGGAAGCCAGCUUCCAUGUUGUAAGGAUGCUGAAGCAGCACUGUGGAGAUCCAUGUGGCAAGGAGCUGAGGCCUCUGCCAGCAGCCAGCGCCAGUCUGCCAGCGAGAUGAGCAAGCCGUCUUGCAGCCAAUUCAACGAAUUGUUAUCUCUGGACCACUGGGCUCACAUCGUGAACAGCUGCUCCACCCUCUGUCUUUCACCAGCAAGUUUUUCUGGUAACAAGACCACAUAGGUCUCACUUAAGCCAUCUUCACCAACUACCAACUAUUAAACUGGUUAAUUCGUCUUUCAGAUCAGAAACAAGAGGCCAGGAGUAAAAACUGUGCCAAUCAGAGAAGAAUUACCUGGCCACCAAAUUACCAGUCACUCACUCAUCUCAACUCUCCUCCCUGGCUCCUUUACUUUGAAGCUUAGGUCUGCAAUGGUUAUUUUAUAUAGAAGAGCAAAAUAUGCUCCUUUCAAAUUUCACUUUUUUUUCUUUUUUGAAAUUAAAACCAAUUUUGUUUAGAGACAGGGUCGCACUCUGCCACCCAGGAUGGAGUGCAGUGGCAUGAUCAUAGCUCGCUGUAACCCCAAACUCCUGGGCUCAAGUGAUCCUCACACCUCAGCCUCCCGAGUAGCUGGUACAGGAGUGUGCCACCAUGCUUGGCUUCACUUUAUUUUGUUGACUUAACUUUUUCCAGAGACAUCUUACAAGAGCCUGUUUUCCAUCCUAACAGUACGACGUAACUCCAGACAUAGGCUUUAGACGUUCUCAUGCCACCCUAUCUUCAAAACCACAGAGAGUUCAUGAGCCAGUCUUGCCCAUCUCCAAUCAGGGAACUUCUAAAAUAAAAAUCUUAGCAAUCUCCUUGGCCCAAAACUUCACCCCAUCUUGGAAGGGAGGGGAGAGAGAAUGUUCUGAUCUAUAUCUGAUGAGGGCGUGUGGUUGGGACCUGAGCAUCCUCCUGGUUGGGCUAGUGAUGGGGAGAGAGGGCUGUUACUCACGACUCCCUCCCACAGAAUACCAGAAACAGGCAGGCAGCUCAGGUGUAUGUAAGGAUGUGAGGCCAAGAAACCAGCCCUCACCAAGUUACCCCUGUAAAUCCUUGUCUCCCCAUGCACCUCUACUUUGAGUCAGAAAUGGAUUCAUUGCAGGCUCAGUUGUUUGUAUUAUGUGAAUGAACUGAACGUAACCAAGCACCAAGAGAGCCCUAAAGACACAGUAGACCUCCUGUAGAAGGGCUCUGAUGGACCUUCAAACAUUGCUUCUCCAACUUUAUGGUGCACACAAAUCACCUGUGCAUGUUAAAAUGCAGACGGUGACUUACAGAUCUUGGGGGAGGCCAAGUGUCUGCAUUUCCAACAAGCUCCCAGAUGAUGGCCACACUGCUGAUCUGAGGACCACAUUUUGAACAGCAAUCCUUAAAACACACAAGGCUGUGGGACCGCACUCCUGAGAAGAGACCUCACUCUUGGAAGGGAUUCUAGGAGGCUGCAUUCAAACCAUCCCAGAGACAGCUCACAAUUUUGUUAGGGACCUGAUACUAAAAAUUACCAAAUCACAAUCGUGUGCUGAGGGCUUACUUUGUGCUUUUCAGAUGACAUUUCAUUUGAUGCUCUCAAUAACCCUGAAGGGAUUUCAGAGAUGGGGAUUAUGAUGGAGCUUCAGAAUUAAACUGAUUAAAACUGGCCCAGAGUCACACAACUAUGAAGAGGCUGAGUUGGGAUUUCUUUUAAUUUUUAUUUUUUGAAACAGGGUCUCACUAUGUUGCCCAGACUGGUCUCGAACUCUUGAGCUUGAGCAAUCCUCCUGCCUCUGCCCCCUGAGUAGCUGGGACUACAGAUGUGAGACAGCAUGCCGAGCCUGCUGAGUUGGGAUUUGAACCCCAGGUUUGUCUGGCUGUAAGUCCUCCAGUGUGGAAGUACGAUAGCUACCCAUCUCAGCCACGGAAAAUAGCAGAGUUUUGGUUCAGGCAAGUAGCACUAAGUAGAAAGCCCAGGUAUGAACCAGAUCUGCAGGAGCCCAAAGUCAUUGCUCAGAACCACCCCCUACCCGCUGAGAAGUUCUUCCUGUCCCUGGAAGUUCUCUCUGAGAUCCACCCAAAUGUGUCCUCACUAAGGCGAAAUCUGGCUUCUCCUGUUUGGGCCUGGGGAGAAACAUAAACCUAGCCCCUUUCCUUCACACGAGCUUCGAUCUUGACAGUUGAAGCCUGCAGGGGUGUCGCCAGGCCACCCUGUCCCUGACAGGUAGAGAAAGGCGAGGCUGCCAGCCAACCCCCACCCUCCACAUUUGCCUCCUCCCUUCCCUUUUGAAGGUACAUUCAGAUGAACGGGCUCCAUCUUCAGGCCAUGCCAGUCCCCUGGGGCCAACUGUGGUCUGGAGGCUGGGCAGCCUGGCAUCCUGGGGCCUCCUCAGUGGACAUCAGUCCUGGGAACUGUGGAGGUGAAGGGGGAGGAGGUAUUUUCAGCGCCCAGAACGAUGGAUCUGCUGGGUGCCAGGCAGCCCUGGAUGAAUGAUACAUCAGUUCACACAGGUGAUGCCUAGAGCCAGCUCAGUCCCUGCCAGAGAAGAGCUCUGGCUUGGGGCUUUGUCCUUGGGCCUGGGUCCAGUUGGAGUGACCCAGGAGGGCAGUGUGCGGGAUUAGGCCAGGGACACUGUGGGAGUUUAUCUCUUCCAGUGCCCCUCACCUCCUAAGAAGUUGUUGGGGGCCGGAGCUCCUUCUCAAUGCGCCUCAGUGUUCCCCUCCACCACCAUCACCCGCUGCUGCCACUCCCGAGCCCUCAGUGAAACCUGGACCCAGAAACCAGAGUGCCCAGUGCCCAGAGGCUCCUGGGGAGGGAGGCUGCCCACCACAAAGCACCUUUCAUAUGCUCCAAAGGCUUCGGCCACCUCAGGGAGGAGGGAGGAAGUCCUUUCCCUUCACCCCCACGGAUGCAGCCCACAGGCAGGAGUGGGGAGUGGUGGUGAGGUGAAACACUCCUUCUGCCAUCUUGGCCAGGGCUGCCCAGACAGAGCUAUGGGCAGUCAUCCUCGACCCCACCCCACCACCUCCAAUCCAUCAGCAUGGCCUCUUGGCUGUCCUUCUAAGACAGACCUCAGUCUACUUCCCUCCACCCAGGGCCCAGCCUAGGCCAAGUCACCUUUGCCCUCUCACCUGCCUCUCCAGGACCCCAGCUGGUCUCCUCUGCUCCGUGCAAGCUCCCGCCAGCCCCUUCUCCAGACUCCACACAGGCCUUUGAGGCCUAGCACCUUCUUCUGUCUCUAGCCUCAGCUGCCCACUUGCCCUCUCACCUCUAUCAACCCUGGUCUCAGUAACCAUCCAGUCUGCCAUCUACGCUGGAGUAUGAGUUGGCUGGAAGCACCAACCCUGGGGACACCAGGGUAUAACUGUACUCUCUCAGCAUGGAGGGAAAGGAUCCAACCUUGUAAAAGGACAUUUAGGCAUCAGAAACAAGCUCCUUGCUGCUUUGCAAGUUACCACAGGCCGGGAAAGAACUGCAGGAAGUGAGGCUGUGCCUGGGCUGCGGCCUGGGCUGCAGUGGGAAGAGCUGACUCAGCACAGAGUGGGGAGGGCAAAGGAAAUCCCACAUCUGUGUCCUGCGGCAAAGCCACCACGAGCACAGACAGGCUUGCGGCACCAGUCCUCUCCCGUUGCACGCCACACAGCGCUUUCCAUGCAUUAACUGCUUGCGAUGUCACCAAACCAUGAUCAACCCAUUUGACAGAUGAUGCUACAGAGCCUGGAGUCCGUGUGACUGGGCCAGAUGGCACAGCUCACAAACACACAGGUGGAGCCGCUCUGGAGUGUCUUGGCUCCACAAGUCCUGUCUGCCCAGCUGUCUCUGGGUGACUCAGCACUCCUCACUGUUCCACACACUUCUUACUGUUCUUCAAACAUAUACCGGUGGUCCGACUAAGGUUACUGUUCUUGCUGUCCCCCCAAGCCUGGCACCCCUGGGCCCUGAUGAUCCAAACCUACUCAGUGGAGAUGUCACCUCUGCAAAGAAGCCCUUUGUGACCAUCUAAUUUCAGAUGCCUUGAGCUGUAGCACCUGCCACAUGACCUGGUUAUUUUUCCUUCUGGCACUCAUCACUCUUGGAAAUUGCUCAUCUAUUUGUCUUCUGACUCCCACACUGGAAGGUAAACUUCCUGAGAACCACAACCAGGCCUACUUUGUUCUCAGUCAUAUCACCAGUGACCACAGCUGGCACACAGUAUGUGUUCAAUAAAUAUCUGUGAUAGAAAGGAAUGAAUGUAGCUAUUCCACGCUGUGUUCAGAGUCAGCUGCUGACAGCAGGCCCUGAAAACUGCCCGUCCAGAUUACAGAGUAGGAGACUGAUUUUUGGGGAUGGGAAGCAGUAAUUACAUCAAGAGAAGACAAAAUACCUCCAGUGGAGGUUGGAGGAAAGCUGUGUUUAAGAUGGCACACGGUGCCUCUCAGGCCUAUAAUCUUGUUGACCUUUUUAAACCCCAGAAUUACCAACAGACCCUAUUUUUCCUUCUCCAUCACAUAGUUUGGCUUUUCCUGACAUCCCAGGUCACCUGUGGGACCCAGAAACUUCUCAACCUCUCUUCCUUGGGGGUUGCAGUCUGGUGAAAUCUCUGAGCCACAACCUCCCUCAUAGCAUCCAGGGCCCUUCAGGAAGGGCUUUCUCAGCUGGUGCCUGGUGGAGACACACACAGACACCUAUAGCCCAGGGAGCGGGCCACGGACCAGCUCUAGUUAAAGACAUCCCUUCCCCCUGCUUCCUUCUAUGCUGGAACAAAUACCGGAUCUUCUGCACAGGGCUCUGGGGGCUGGGAGAGGAAGGCCCCGGAGAACAUGCUUGCAAUUCACCCAGCACCCUCUGCACUGUGGCUCCAAACUGCCUCUUCAUUACAGGGCCGUUACGUAAACUGGCGAGUCAGUACAAAAGAAGCAAGCAUGCCUGCUGACUAAAAAUAUACCUCUAAGCUCAUAAGGUCACAAGGCUGUCUGCAGGCUGGCAACGCCUACCUUGAUUAUGGUUAUAGAUUCACUUUUCUCCCUAAGCAAUCUCACUUCUCCAGGACUCAUCAACCUGGGGAUAUGGAUAGCGAUGCAUGGGACUAACUCAGCUAUUAGGAUGAAGGGCUUUCUGGAAGCCCAGAGGCCCAGUGCCAGCCAGUACAGAGACACAGAUGGCUUGCUAGUGGGAGGGGACCUCGCACAGCCUUUGCAGAGGGAGUGCAGCUCUUUUUGCUCCACUGCCUGGCUUCUGAAGUCCCUCAAUCCCUGGCCACAGUUGUUUGCUUUUUACAUCAGCAGCUACACACUCUACUUCAUGUCGUAAUGACCAUUUCCUCUCAGGGAGUCUCCUCAGGCCAGCAAACUCGGGAUACACAGGAAAUCUACUCCAAUCCCAGGAUGGGCAACAGGAGAUGGAUUUUCCACAGUCAUCUUCUAAAACAAGGCAGAAAAUUCCAAGUAAACAGUAGGCUGCCCUGAGAGGCUGGUGACCCCGCCACGCUUGGCCCAAUGUCCUAAGGAAUUUGAUUUCUGCCCACCCCUCCAAAAAGCAAGAGACCUCAGAAAGCGCUAAGGCACACUUCUGAGCCAAUUCUCCCUGGGCCUCCUGCUGUUGUACAUGUCUUGUAAACAAGGCACUAACUGCUUUUUGUUUUGGAUGAUCUUUUCAAAGGUGCUUGCAUAGCAAACAGCCUUAGAAGACAGAGGUAGUGCCUUGCUCUGGGGCAUACGGCAGGUUUGCAUAUAGUCUUGGACUAAGGAUAGUGUCCAUCUUGGGAGCAAAAGGGCAGGUUUGCUUACCAUCCAUUAUAAAAAGAUGCAGGCUCCCCUCCUAUAAAGUAACUCACUGCAUAUGCAGGCAUUCAUCUGAGCCCGUCUUGUCACACCUACGGAACUUGGAGGAACAGGAGAAGUCCCAAAGUAUAAAAAUAUAUGUAAACCAGGUCAGGUGCAGUGGCUCACACCUGUAAUCCCAACACUUUGGGAAGCCAAGGCAGGUGGAUCACUUGAGUCCAGGAGUUUGAGACCAGCCUAAGCAACAUGAUAAAACCCCAUCUCUACAAAAAAAUACAAAAAUUAGCCAGGCAUGGUGGCACGCAACUGUAGUCUCAGCUACUUGGGAGGCUGAGGCAGGAGGACAGAUUGAGCCUCUGAAGUGGAGGCUGCAGUGAGCUGUGACUGUACUACUGUACUCCAGCCUGGGCAACAGAGCGAGACCCUGUCUCAAAAAGAUAUAUAUAUGUAUUUAAAAUAUAUACAUGUAUAUAAAAUAUAAAAUAUACAAUACAAUAUAUGUAUAUAAAAUAAAUAUGUAUAUGUAACGAGGGAAAGAUGAAUACUUUUUUUUUAAUCAAAAGAGAGCUGGAGUAAAAAUAUGUUUUUUGUUUGUUCGUUUUAGAGAUAGAGUCUUGCUCUGUUGCCCAGGCUGGUCUCAAACUCUUAUCCUCAAGUGAUCCUCCUGUUUCAGCCUACUGAGUUGCUGGGAAUACAGGUAUGAGCCACUGUGCCCAGCCAAGAAUACUUAAAAGAAUAUUUUUUUUAAAAGUUCCUUGCUUUGCAACAGGAUUUAUUAUAUGCCUCUUUUGAAUAGAAUAAUACUUUGGACACCUAAAAGAUCAUGUGAUUUGUUCCAAAGAGCUGAAUUUGCACAGGUUUCUGGAAUAUGCCUUUUUGUUGAGGAUGGGAAUGCCGAGAGGUUGGGCCUGGGAGUACAGUUUCUCAGGGACUAUUAUCAAACCACUGCCUCCUUCCUAAAGACCAGCUGACAUGCUUGUUUAACAGCACUCUCCACCUCCAUAAAAUAAAAAUCAAUUACUCAGGUCUGUGGUCUAGUUAGUUGAGUUGUGCCAAUAUUAAUUUCCUGGUUUUGAUAACAUACUGCGGUUACAUAAGAUGUUACCAUUGGGGGGAAGUGAUGUGAUGGUGGAAAGUGAUUUGACCUCUCCUUAAAAUGGGAAUAAUGCCAGCUACCCUGCAGUACAGUGGUGGAAUUGGAGGGGGGAAUGUAGAGUGCCUAGUAUUUUUGCAACCUCUUGUGAGUCUCUAAUUAUUUCAAAAUAAAAAGUUUAAAAAAAUGCUGUUAGGAAACCAAAUAGCCAAA
rnacentral:lncRNA from 10 species